rnacentral:rRNA from 1 species
UGGGGAAUUUUGCACAAUGGGCGAAAGCCUGAUGCAGCAACGCCGCGUGAGUGAAGAAGGCCUUCGGGUUGUAAAGCUCUUUCAGCCGGGAAGAAGGGUGCUAUGGCUAAUAAUCAUAGUAUUUGACUGUACCGGAAUAAGAAGCACCGGCUAACUACGUGCCAGCAGCCGCGGUAAUACGUAGGGUGCAAGCGUUGUUCGGAAUUACUGGGCGUAAAGCGCGCGUAGGUGGGUUUGUAUGUCGGUUGUGAAAUCCCCAGGCUCAACCUGGGAAUUGCAAUCGAAACUGCAAAUCUUGAAUGCUUGAGAGGGUGGUGGAAUUCCAGGUGUAGAAGUGAAAUUCGUAGAUAUCUGGAGGAACACCGGAGGCGAAGGCGGCCACCUGGCAAGACAUUGACGCUAAAGUGCGAAAGCGUGGGGAGCAAACAGG